ensembl:snRNA U6 U6 spliceosomal RNA
GCUCCAGUAAGGAGCACAUAUACUAAAACUGGAACGAUACAGAGAAGAUUAGCAUAGCCCCUGCACAAGGAUGACAUGCAAAUUCCUGAAGCAUUCCAGUGAGGC